rnacentral:tRNA from 1 species
UAUAGCUCAGUUGGUUAGAGCGCACGCCUGAUAAGCGUGAGGUCGGUGGUUCGAGUCCACUUA